rnacentral:rRNA from 1 species
UGGGGAAUUUUGGACAAUGGGCGCAAGCCUGAUCCAGCCAUGCCGCGUGAGUGACGAAGGCCUUAGGGUUGUAAAACUCUUUCGUCGGGGACGAUAAUGACGGUACCCGAAGAAGAAGCUCCGGCUAACUUCGUGCCAGCAGCCGCGGUAAUACGAAGGGAGCUAGCGUUAAUCGGAAUUACUGGGCGUAAAGCGUGCGCAGGCGGUUCUAUAAGACAGAUGUGAAAUCCCCGGGCUCAACCUGGGAAUGGCAUUUGUGACUGUAGAGCUAGAGUACGGUAGAGGGGGAUGGAAUUCCGCGUGUAGCAGUGAAAUGCGUAGAUAUGCGGAGGAACACCGAUGGCGAAGGCAAUCCCCUGGACCUGUACUGACGCUCAUGCACGAAAGCGUGGGGAGCAAACAGGAUUAGAUACCCCCGUAGUCCCUGAGCGGGCUGGCAAGGCGCAU